rnacentral:rRNA from 1 species
UACGGAGGGUGCGAGCGUUGUCCGGAAUCAUUGGGCGUAAAGGGCGCGUAGGUGGCCCGGUAAGCGUGCGGUGAAAGCUCGGGGCUCAACCCCGAGUCGGCCGUGCGAACUGCUGGGCUUGAGCACUGUAGAGGCAGGCGGAAUUCCGGGUGUAGCGGUGGAAUGCGUAGAGAUCCGGAAGAACACCGGUGGCGAAGGCGGCCUGCUGGGCAGUUUUGCUGACACUGAGGCGCGACAGCGUGGGGAGCAAACAGGG